rnacentral:lncRNA from 1 species
UUCUCAAGUUCAAUUUUCUUUCAUCUGGCGGAGAUUAUUACGGAACUCACAAGUGGCACUGGUACUUCUCUCAAGGAUUUACAGUCAUGCUCUUCACAUUCUUACCAUUUUCAAUUGCUGGCAGCAUAAAGUCUAAAUGCUGGAAGCUCUCUGGACUCAUUGCAUGGGUUUUAAUUGUUUACAGUAUUCAGGGGCAUAAAGAAUUCAGGUACUCUCUAUUUGGUAUAUUUUCCUUUUUUUUUCUUUGCGUCCUUGUUUUGUAUGGAAACUGAUUGGCUCAUGUUUCUAAAUUAGCUUAUCCUCUAAUAAACUGAGUUACAGGUUUGUGUUGCCUAUGCUCCCGAUAGCUUUGAUGUUCUCUGGAUAUUCGUUAUCUGUUAUGGCAAAAUCUGAUUCUGAUAGUAGAAGAAAAGGUUCUCCUAACAGUCACAUGAAAAGGCCCUCAAAAGUGGGAUUUGCCAUCUUUUUCUUGCUUGCCACUAACAUUCCGAUGGCCUUGUACAUGAGCUUGGUUCAUCAGGUAUGUGAGAUACCUCCUCAACUUUACCAAAUACAAAGCUGAUCAGAAGCCUUGUCCGCUUCAACAGCUGAACUUUUAAUGUGGCUUAUUGCUUUGAUGUUAUUCCUGUUUUGGCUUUUUGGUUAUUUUAUCUUCUCUAAUUUAGUUGAGAAAUAAAAUGGGAAAAUGCUAUAUAUCAAACCCUGAGAAAGAAAAAAGAAUGAAUAGUAGGGAGCUCUCAAAGAAAAAGGUUCAUAUUAGUACCUUUUUUCCCCCUUGUAUUCUUCUGUUGAUCUUACUUGUGAUUAUGCUAGACAGAGAGGAACUGAGGAUGUCAUGAUUUAUCUAUCCAAAGAAGCGCAAAAUGAGAAAGUAAAGGGUAUCCUGUUUCUAAUGCCCUGCCAUGCCACUCCUUACUACUCCACACUGCAUUAUGAUCUGCCAAUGCGUAUUCUGGAUUGUUCUCCAAGGUUUGGAGUUUAGCAAUUUGGUUAAGAGUAUAUUUCUUGAAAUGCUAUUGUUAAUAGUUCUUAAUUAUGGUCUGAUAUCUCAUUCAACAGUGAAGAGAAAGGAAUCCCAGAUGAGUCAGACCACUUCAUGAUGGAUCCUGUUAGUUUUGUAACACGGAUGACAAACGGGUCUUUGCCUAGUCAUGUUGUAUUAUUUGAUUCUGAGGAGAAGUUGUUAAGAGAUUUUCUGAUUUCACAUUCUUUCACAGAGGUACAUGCGGAACCUAUGUCAAUAUAUAGUUUUGCUUUCAGUGUUACCAUAUCUUCUUUGUAGCUAAGUUUAAAAUAUAAUGGCAGAUAAGAAGGUUUUUCCAUGCCCACUUCAAGGUGGACCGUGAUCUUCAAGCAUCAGUGGUUGUAUAUGCUUUGGCUAACUAGUGGUAAUUGUUCUAUUUUUUGUGCAGUCAGUCAUAUCCAAGUCACAGGUUUCUGAUAAUUUUGUCCCUUUUCUUUCCCAAGAUUAAUUUGUUGUAGAAAUACUUCUUUGCCACUUUUGAUCUAUGGAACAUACUUCCUCACUUGAAGGGAAUUUUUGUUGUUGGUAUGGUGUACAUUGAUAUGUUCUUAUUUUAAAAUUUAUGUAGUGAUUGUCGUUGUCAUACCACAGUGCCAUGAUGUUUGAAAAAACAUUAUCCAAACGCAUCAUCAUGAUCCUUGAUUGGCAUCUCUUAGAAGUUAACAAUUGAGAAGUGCUAAAUCAACAGUCGAAUUAUGUGGGAAGACAGCACAGGUAAAAACAUAAUUUUUGCAUUUUAAGUAACUGUUAUUCAUAUGCCAAUUUCUUGCAAGCUCCUGUGGUUAAGAAAAGAGGAUUUGUAAUAAUUGUUUCCUUUCAGCAAAGACCUUCUGAUUUCAACUAGUCUUGAUCUCUGCUACCUCAAUUGGAAGUUUGUUAAUUCGAUAAUGACUUGAAGUCACAUUUGUGGUGACUUCAUUACAUAAUCCGAAGUGAAAUCAGGAAAAAAAUAUCACGGUCCUUUCUUUUAGGUAAAACGUUAAAUAUUCGUUGACGGGAAUGGGAAUUGAUUUUUAUAUCUGGCAUUAUUCAAAGCAGUGUGAAUGUGGAUUCUGUGAUGUGUCUAAUCAAUUAGGAGUCAGCACAGCUCUAUAGAUUUUAAGAUAAAUGCCGUUAUUUCAUCUGUCAAUCUUGAAACAGUGAACUCCAAAUAAAAUGCCAAUAGUAUCUCUUAUGCAAGUUGGCCUACUUGACUCAGUAUAGCUCACAUUCUUUGAAUCUCCACUAUUUUUUCCAUGAAAGCUUGAGUUGCAUUUUGCCCAUAAUGAUCAUCUCAUGGCAGCCCUGAAAACCUAUGUCAAGUCUUGUUGGUGGGUGGAGUUGAAUGAGCCCAUUUGCAGCUAGAUUAGGUUCCUAAAGAGAGGGAAAAAAAAAAAAAAGCUGUGCAAGGACCACAUCUUGGAACAGGAGGUUCAUGAAUGUAAUUGCAAGCAUAGGCUCUACAGUUAUGGGUCAGUUUAUUUUAUAUAGGUGCCAAUUUUCUUAAGAAAAGUUGGAUUUGUUAAAUUUACUGUACACCUAUUAUGGUAGCAAGAAAUAAACCAGCCAGCAUCACUGAGACUCUCUGGCUGGAGUGGGAUGUUGACAAUUUACAGUAGAACAAAGAUUUAUUUGUCGGUUGGUGGGUGGAGUUGAAUGAGCCCAUUUGCAGCUAGAUUAGGUUCCUAAAGAGAGGAAAAAAAAAAAGCUGUGCAAGGACCACAUCUUGGAACAGGAGGUUCAUGAAUGUAAUUGCAAGCAUAGGCUCUACAGUUAUGGGUCAGUUUAUUUUAUAUAGGUGCCAAUUUUCUUAAGAAAAGUUGGAUUUGUUAAAUUUACUGUACACCUAUCAUGGUAGCAAGAAAUAAACCAGCCAGCAUCACUGAGACUCUCUGGCUGGAGUGGGAUGUUGACAAUUUACAGUAGAACAAAGAUUUAUUUGUCGGUUCGUUUGGUCGGUUUAUACUGACAAUGUGCUCUGUAUUACAACUUCAUUGUUUACAUGGAGAAACGGAAAUGAAAUAGAAUUUCAGAACGAGAAAUGAGAAUGAGAGGUAAGUUAGAAUUACAGAAGCAUCCAUACCAAAUAAAGUACGAAGUGGUCCUCUCAACUUCAUGUUCCUCGAAAGGUCCUUUACAUGAGAUAUUCCUUGAAGGCCCUUGCCUUCUGGUCUCUCCAAAUAUUCCUUCCACAGUUCCACUCAACCAGUAAGCAGAUGGAAUAACAGUAACCAUAGCUGAGCAUUAUUACUUAAAAGGGAUUUUGAGUAUAUUAGAUACUUAAAUUGAAGUGGUUUAAGCAGCCUCAUAGAUGGUCGAGGCAAGUUUUAUUUUGAUAAUUUAACAUGAACCAGGACUUGUAUGACUCGUAUGAGAACACUCCCAGCAUCAGUGGGGAAUAUCAAAACCUUUCUACAGAAAUAAAAUUGUGUUCAUAAGUCAACUUCAAUGUGAGAAUUUUAAUUCAUGUGAAUUGUGAUUGUUUGCCACGCUUUCUUGUCUACUGCAUUAACUGCCUAAAAUAGUGUCUAGAGGCAAGCAAAAUCAAAUACGCUCCGUGAAGUUUACUAGCAUUUUCUAUUUGUGAUUUUUAGGAACAAAAGCUUAGAGUUUGUUUAAAAUGUGUAAAUAGAAAUCACAACAUGACAAAAUGUAACGGAUCUCGACAAGCUUUGCUCCAUAUCUCCCCCAUAUUCCUUUACACUAUUGUCCCAAGGGAGUGAAGCUCAUCUAUAUAUAAACCUGCUUUAUCCCUUAGGUCUUAAAGUCUCACAAAUAUCUUGACCUUUAGGAUUUCUUUCAUGACUAGACGUGCUUGCUAGUUAUCCAUGAAUAAAAGAGACAUGAAGGUGAAAAGGGGCGAUUUGAUAGCCAAAAAGAAGGUGAAGUUGGUUAAAUUUUCUUUGAAAAGAAAUAUUUCUACUUUGCAGAAAAUGAUUCGUGGUUGUGAAGAGGCUGAUGUUGAAACUUUGUUUCAGAAGUCUAUUGAUCAUAUUAUGAAACUAAAAUUGCAAGUCCAUAUUCUGAAGUGUCUCCUGCAGGUUUAUGAGAUUAAUUAGAUUGAGUUGCUUCGUGGCGUUGGCAUCUCAGCAACUGUAUACAAUGUAAGUGCCAAUUCCAUGUGUAACAUCAAGUUAUGAGUCUGCCUAGUCAUGUUGUAUCUUUCACAAAUUCAGCUUUUAGAUGCCACUCGCCAGUGUAAUUUCUGUCAGACACUUGUUCUUAAAGUUUGUGGACAUCAUAAUAAACUGCAAUAGCACUUGUUCCAACUUCUUUGUUACUAUGAUGAAUCAAGUUAUGUUUUGUUGGUUAUGUUUGUGUAAGUUCAAGAAAGCAAGAUCACCCAUGUUAUGCUCUGCUGCGUUUGUAAUAUUUAGUUGAUUCACUCAAAGAAUCGAGGCAUGUCAAGAGAUCAAUUAGAAACCCAUCUUCCCAUUCCAGCUAGCCAUUCUUAUUUUUCUUUUAGGCUUGUUAGUUUCUAUCUCUGACCCAAGUAUAAAUCUGUUCUUCCCUCUUCAAAGCCCCAUCGCCCCCAUCUCCUCCACUCCAAAACUUUUCUCACUGUUUUCGAAAGCUAGUCUUUGCCCUUGCUUUUCAGUAGCUAAAUGAUCUUAGGUCCAUCAUGCCCAUGCCUUUCAGCCCUAUGAGGGACAUAUUGCUUUAAUCAAUAUGAGAAGCUUUAAGACAUACAAAGACAUUAUCACUACCAUUACCCCCCUCUAAAUCAUGACCUGCAAUCACUUCAUAAUUUUCAAUCAUAUCUGGUGUGCUUUUACGCAUGAUUUAUCUACAGCGUUUAUGAUGUUUCUCAUGUAUCUUGUUUUGAUCCACCAUGACUUGAUUAUUAUUUUGGUAUCAAGUUCUGGUUGCAAAAUUAUUACCUAAGAUAGACCAUAAGACAGCUAUGUUCUUCUCUGAUUAAUCGCUUACACCAUUUGAAUAACAAUGUUUUGGACAUAAAAUACCUUAGAUUAUGAUAUCCCUGAAACAGUUUUUAUUUAUAUGUAUUAAACAAAAAAUAGAAUGUAAUUGAUAAUAAUUACAUAAUAAAAGUACAAAAUAUGCAAAUCGACCUGGCACAACAGAGUAGAUUAGCAGCUUCAGUGUUCAUAGAAUUGAAGCCCAUAGUUUGCAUAAGAAGUAGAGAGCAUGAGCAUGUGAUUAAUGGUUGUGGCCCAUGUCUUGUAACGAUGAUAAUCAUCCCCCAUAUCUAGCUUGAUUAUCCCCAUAUUGGUUGUUAACACGAUAAGAUAACAUGUAUGACCAGUCUCUCGAUCAGCUUCUAAAUCUUUGUACAACUCAGCAUGCAAGUCCAGUACAAUACCUGAAGCAUAUUUAUCGUACUCAUAAUGGUUAAUUCUCUGUUCUGUAUUUAGAAGAAAACUUAGUGCUACAUGUAGUAUUUAAGAUAAAGUAAUUAAAAGGAAAAAUGGAGAGCAGGAAUAGUAUAACCUACUUUCCUUCUUGCCUUUCAGGAUAUUGAGCUUCCUCAACUUAAGAAUAACCUGUAUAAUUAAUUCAAGGAUCAAUGGUUAAGAUUACACCAGAGAAAAAUUUACAUAAACUUCUAGUUUAAAGAAAUGUUAUGGAUGAUUGACUAUUUAAUCUCAACUGUCCAUGCAUGAUGAUGUCUUGUGAACUUUGAUGACCUCUGAUGAUUAAUGCAUUGCAGAAUCUGAAAUAAGACUAGAAUAUUAGUCAAACCUUGGCUUUGCUGCUAAGGAUGAUAGACACAGAUCUCACCCUGAAAUUUCCUGUUUACACAAAAAAUUAUAAUCAAGCAAAAUGCCAAAUGAUUUUACUAUUUAAACUAGCUGACAUUCCAGUAGUGACUUCUCCAUCAACAUACCAUCAGGUGUUUCAACAUGGAGCUCUGUUCCAUUGGCAAGUACUGAUCUACACUUCUCAAAGUCAAAAUCAAUGUCAUUGUUAUCCUCUAAAGGGAGAACUGGUGCAUUUAGUCUGUUCUUGCAUCCUGUUCUUGCUUUAAGGGUAGCAGCUCCUUUCAAUGCUACAAACAAUUGUAACCAAAAGCACACAACUAGGGAAGUAAGUGAACAAAACUCUCUGGGUUAGCAUAUUAUUGUUGCCAUGGCCCCAUUGUGAGGCCAAUCUAGUAAUCUAAACCCAAGAGCCCAAUUAUAGCUCUAUUUGCCAAAAAAGAAUAAUUCUUUCUAUUAUCAAGUGAAUUAAAAGCACUCCUCAUAUUUCUACAGAAAAAUAAUUGAAGGAACUUACAAGUUGUUGCAGCAGCUGUGAGUGUUACUAUGUCACUUGCAUUUGUGCCACUCAUGGCUGAGCCUAUGGCACUGCUAAGCUGCUCUCUCUUUGCCCCCAUUGCUUCUGCGACUUGUGCGCAUUUAGCUGCAACCAAAGCAGCAGCAGAGGCUAUGGCAGCCUCCUUGGCAGUGCUGGAUUCAUCUUUCUUGGAGUUCUCAGCAGCAAUUGCAGCUAAGGCAGCAGCUACUCCUGCUACUGAUAUAGCUGCAUGUACUUCAGCUUUUUGUAGCCUCUCUUCUUCUUUUCGCUUCAGCUUUAUCUCUUUCAACCAUUUCUUUAUUGAAAUGGUCUUAAAGGGCAGUAUAUUUUUCCAUGGGAACUGCAUUAAGAAUUGUUUAGAUUAAGUUCUUUUGUAUGUGUUUUUAUAGCUUAUAAAAAAAGCUUAAGUCAAUGAGAACAAGAUUAUGCACCCAUUUCUUGCGGAAACAACUGUUGUAGUUCAGUUCAGGAUGCAUUGCUUGUUGCAUCCAUAUCCAUGACUGUAAGCAAAAAACCGAAGAAAUAAAGCAAUGAAUUUGGUUUGGAUAAAUUCAACUAAAUGAUAAACAUUGAUCAUAACCACUAUACUAUUGCUGUAGUGUGCCUACCUUCAUAUCAUUGGAUUUCCAUGGUGGCAGAGACUUGAAGGCAUCAUCCAUUUUGACACUCUUGUCCAUCUUCUGCAAGGUAGACAAAUAAACCUCCAUUCAUGUCCUUUGCUCCAAUAACAUUCAAAUCAUAAAACACUGCAAACAUAGAAACUGCUACAAAUUGACUCACCGAGAAAGGAGGUUUCAUGACGUCGCAAUCGAGUUUCUUGAUUGGAUUAUCUAGGAGAAUAAUCGGCUGGUUUUGCAAGUCUGGUUGGAGAGCUUGAACAGCAAAGUUGCACCAAGUGCUCGAAAGAAAAUCCAUUGUCUCAGGAUGUGCCUCAGAGGGAGAUGGCUUCAUAAUUGAAUCCAUGUAUGCGAUUAGGAGCUAUAGACUGUAUUUGUGUUUAACUGGAGGUGAUAAAAUUAACAGCAGAUUGAGGAAAGGCUCAGCUAAGUCUCAGAUAUAAGCAAGUCUUAACAUGCAUGAAUGCUAAAUAGACUAUGCCUAAAUCCCUAUCAUGUCAAUAUUGUGAUGAGGGUUCUAAACAUAUGGCCCAUACACAUGUUUAAUUUAUUGGAUAGAAUAGAGCUGCAAAAUGUCCUCCUUAAAUCAUCACCAUUGGUGUGAUUGACCCAUAUGAGAGAUCAGAUUCAAAUGGGAAAUUAUGCAUCUAUGGGUAAAAAAUGGCCUUAAAAGGUUAGUGCUGGCAGGCACAGCUUGUUGCUGUCCUCGUAUGCAGAUCCUAAAGUUCAUCAAAAAAGGGUUUUAGACAGAUGAGAUAUUACAGUUGGAAAGGGUAACUGGAUGUUUAUGAAUAUGUAAACAUGGAGCUGGGAACAAGGGACCUACUAGGUAUAACAAGAGUUUCUAGAUAAUAAUAGAUUUAGAUGGGAGAGGGUUCCUUCAAGAUUUGAUGAUAGAGAACACAUGCUACCACUGUAGAAGCAUUAAUGCUUGUAUACUAAAUUAUACAUACAAAAAAGGUAUCGAGAGGUCCAUUUCCUUUUGCAUCUUUAAAUGAAAACCAUAAACUCAAGCUAAGCAUGAAGAAUAGGCUUGAUGAGGAAGUGAUACGUGACUCCUUCGAGCUGUCCAGGACCACCAUGUUUGUUUUUUUGAGGUAGUAUUUGGUAACGUAGUGAUGAUUUUUUUUUAUUUUUAAAUACAUGAAAAUAAUAUUUAUUUAUUUUAAAAUUUAUUUUUAAUAUAAACACAUCAAAAUGCUAAAAAAACAUUAAAAAAAUUAAUUUCAAGUAAUUUUUUAAUUUUUUUUUAUAAAACACGAUUUGUAUAGCAAAAACAAACAUUUCCCAGUACUAUAGCCAUAAAAGUUAAGAGAGUAAGAUGCAAGAAUUGUGAGGCAUUAUUAUAACCAAGCAUGCAGUCUAGGGCCAACAUUGCUAAAAAGGAUGUAGACAAGUAUGAUUGAUGUUAACCACAAUAAAGCUACAAAGACAUGUAUCAAUAGUGAAGCUAGACAUUCUCUGAUUAUAAUAUUGGUUGGAUGAUUAACAAGUUGUUAAACGACGAGGUUUAGGGUUUAGCCUUUUGUAUUAAAAAGGGUUUUAUGAAAAUUAGUUGAGUAGCUUUUUAUGGGUUCGAUUAUCUCUCAAAAUGGCUAUGGGGUCACCAAUAUUCUGCUUUGAUGAUGGAUUACUGGACUUUGCAGAGGGUUUUUAUUUAUUUAUUUAUUUAUUAAAAGUGUGCUCAUUAGACUCAUGUGACAAGCGAAUAAUUUGAGUGCUCGUGAUCACUUGUGUUUCUUAAUUAAAUGUUGAGUGUGUGAUUAAGAAAAAGCACCGAUGUGAGACUAGGGGCAAUGCACUCCUCUCUUGAUUUUCUGGGAAGGUUACUAAAGAUUAUAUUUAAGAGCAUAAAGAUUAAUGUUCGGAUUCUGAAUUAAAGUUUCGGCCGAAGUGGGAUAAAGAAUUAUUCAGCUUCUUGCAUUUUAAUCCUCGAAGACAUUAAUGUCGAACUGGGGAUCUUCGGCAUGUAAAUCUGUACUGAUAAAUCACUACGCUGCAGAGGCUUAAUCGAUAUAGAGGAAGUUUUAACGAGUUUAAUCUUGUUUUGUAAAUUAAAUUAUGGUGAGUUUUAGGUGCACGCUCAGAACUUAUAAUUUCAAAGUGUUUAAUGUAUGUUUUUUUGUAACUGUUGAUGAAAACAGUAGGAUUCGAGAAUUAUUUCUCGUCCAAGUUUAGGUUUUAUCCUAAAUUCUUAUGCUUAGGUUAUCAUGCGGCUAGUUUGCAAACCUUGCAAUUCAAGGUUUCUUUUAGAUCAGUCGAACAUAAUCUUAAAAUAAAGCAGGGGUGAUAUCUUAUAAUUAACUUAAUAAGUUUGAAUCAGGUUAUGUUGGGUCAGUGAAAUUUUACCAGAUCAACUUUUUAUUUUAUUUAAUUUUAGAAUCGAUCCAAAUUAAAUACUAGGUCAUCAAAUUUCUUGGAUGUAGCCAUUGAAUCAAGUUAAGUUUAAAAAAAUAUACAUUUUAUUUGUUUAUUUGAAUCAUCUAGAGCCAAUCAAAAUUCAUAAAUAUCAUUAAUAUUUUCUUGGAAGUAAUACAAGAUAGCAAUCAUAUUUUAUUUUUUUUGUAUUAUUUAAGAGUAGUUGAUAAGUUUGAUGAAUGUAUUCUUUUCAAUAUAUCAUACUAAUAUAGGCAUUAAAAAAAGAAUUUAGUAUAAAUUUAUAUAUAUCAUAAUCGAUUUUUGACCCCACAUUAAAAAAAAUAAAAAAUAAAUUCAGGAGCGAAACACCAAUCAAAUGAAGAAUAGGGAUUGAAAUAAAAAAAUACUAGAGUUUAAUUUUAUCUCCAAAAUAAAUUGUGAAUUUAAAAUAAAAGAGGAGAUUAGGAGAUAAAAUAGAGGAGAAAAUACAAGAAUUUAAAAUAUAUAUAUGGUGAAGGGACUAUAAAUAAGGAAUAAACAGUGCAAAAAAAAUUCCCGAAACAAAACUGAAGAGAAUCGAGAAACAAAAAAAUCUAAAAGAAAAAUCAUAUGCGCAGAAAAGUGGAGAGAACUUUGAGAGAUCCUAGAAAAAAUUUUAUGCGAGAAGCUAGAGAGUAAAAUCUUUUUUUUAAAAAAAAAAGCAAAGAGAAAAAAAAGAGGUUGACACAAAGAUAAAAGAAGAAGAAGAAGAAGUAAGCCUUUUCUUCCAUUCUUCCUCCACAACCAUAAGCCUUUUCCUUGCUGAAUUUUGGUCAAACCAGCAACCCCAAACCCAGUAAUAGACUGAGUAAACCACAAAAAAUCGCAUUCUCUUCAGAGAACAAAACUAACAAUAGCUUCUCAGACCACCACAAACCUAACUAUUGUCCUCUUUCUCCAAAUCGCUCCACUACCUUCAUCUCCUCCACACGACAAUCCCUCUCACCUUUUUGUCGCAUGCAUCCAUUGCUCUCUUUCUGUCACCCUAUAGAAUAGCCUUCAUAUCCACCACCCAACACAUCAUCAUGAUCUUUUUUUAACCCAAAAUCGUAACCUUAAUUUCAUUAAAAAAUUAUCUCAAUCAAACCCGACAAUACAGCUAAAACCCAACCAAAUCAUCCCCAAAAUAAAUAAGGAACAAUCAGCUUCCAUAUCCACUUGAAAGAUCAUCAUUUCUAUGUGAUUUUGCAGGUACAUCCUUGGCACAUAAAGAGCAUGUGCCUUCUCUAUUUAUCAUAACCUAGUAUUUCAACGCAUGACAAGCACGCGUUGACAUUAUUCUGCCUUGUUUGAUUCAUUUCUAAUAGUUAUAGAAGGUCAAUUUCAUAUCUAAAAGCCAAUUUGUUUGAAUUACUUGUAUUGUAAUGUUGAUGUGUAGAUGAUUUAGUGUGGAUUGAUUUUUUAUUUGCACAUGUGUUAAUAUAAUUUGGGUGAUAUUUUGUUGAAUAGUGUGAUUUUUAUACGUGUUGAUUAAUUGAUCUAUAUUUGUAUUUAUUUGUUUAGGUUGGGUGAUUUAUAGUUUCUCAGCAUGAUUUUAUUGAUUUUGCAUGGAUGUGAUUAAAUAUAUGUGUGGAGAAUUUAUGUUGGUAAACAUUUGAAUUUCAUGUUCAAUGCGUUUAAAUGUAGAUUUUUUUUAUUCAGAACGCUAGAAUCUUCAAUGAUUUUUUUUUUAAAUAUGGUAGGAAUAUUUUGAGUAUAUAUAUACAUAUAUUUAAACAUUUAUAUUGUUGGCUGUUUUUUAUCAAAGGAUUGACCUAUUGGUAGAUCACUGAACAUGUCUUAUCAAUUAGAUGUCAAUUUUUUUUUAAUAUUUUUUUUGUGAUUUAGGUUCAACCCAAAGGUAAGACAAUCACUUAAUGAGUCAUGCUCUUUAAAAGUUGAAUAAAAAAUAACUUGUUUUCCAAAAUUACAUACAUAUAUUAUUUCUUUCAAGAAUAUGAAUUUGAUAUAUGAGGUGAAAAGUUUCUUUUUGAUUCACUUUUCUUUCAUAUAAUAAACCAUUAUUUUAUUGGCAUAGUUGCUGACAAUAUUCAUUUUCUUAAAAACAAAUACCAAUGAAUUUAUCUUUGUUUGUAAAUAUCUUUUUUUUUAUUGAUGUCAUUGUGUGCAUUUCUUAAGAGGUUUUUUUUUUUUUUUAUGUGUCUAGGAUAUUGUCCCAUCAUUGCAAGAGAAUUUAGGCAGGGUCAACAUGAUCCUAAAAAGGCCUAUUGAGUUUUAAUAGUGGUCUUUGAGUAUAUGUUAGGCAUGACCUAAGAAACGAGCUCAAAACCCAAUUGUCACUUAUCAUCCUCCUGGAUUCAAUUGUUAUAUUUUUAAAGUGAGGAUUGGGCCUUAUUACGAGGACCAAGUCCCAAAUCACUAUCUUAAGUUUAAUGAUCCUCUUUCUCUUAACCAAAUAUACAUAUAUCAGUUUCAACCAAUUUUAGCAAGAGGACAUAAUUAUUUUUAUCAUUAGAAACCAUAAUUAUAAAACUCGGCCUGAAGGUUGACCUGGAAUAAUAGUCAGGUCCCAAGUCAGUUGGGUUGACUUAAGUUAACUUGGAAAAUGAAAAAAAACCCUUUCUCUACAUUAUCUCCCUUUAUAAACACCUUCAUUGUUUCAUUGCUUUUGGUUAUUAUCCUUCUUUUUUUCCCUUUAAAUUUUAUAAUUCCUCUAUUUCUCAUAUAAAUCCAAUUCUUUAUAUAUAAAUAAAUCUUUUCCAUUUCACUCUCUCUAAUUUUUCCAUAUAUAAAUUUUGUUAUAUAUCAAUAAGAUAUGCUGCUUUUCAUUAAAAAUAAGUUGUUACGACUCAAAUCAUUUUGAUGAAGAAGAAGUCAAUCCUUUCACAUUAUGUCGAUAUUAUAAAUAUCAUACUUAAUAAAUCUCUGUAUAAUUUACAUGUGUACAUUGUUCACGUAUUUAUUUUAUGAUUUUAAAUAAGAGAUAUUUAGUCUUUAAAACAAGUUUCAUAUAUAUGUUUAACAAAUUAAAAACAAACGGGAUUGGGGUUGUUCACUUAUAGUGAUGAGGGGUAACCAAGAUAAAUUAAAUAAAAAAAAGUGAAUGUUAAAUAACAUACCUAAAAGAUAAAUGAACACUAAAAGGGUCAUUGUCAAAACUUAGUUCAAAUGAGAUCUUUAUGUCACUUAGAUCUCAUUCCAAAUAAAUGAGCAUACAAUCUUCAUUCAAAAAAUAUUAUAAAUGAAUCUUAGACAUGACAUUAUUUAUGGACCAUUUCUAGGAUCUAGGUUAGGUUAAAGGAGCCCAGUAUAAGCUUAUUGGUUAUUCAUUUGAAUGACUUGAUAGACUAUUUGUCAUAUGUCAUGAUAAGUAGUUACUAGUUAUAGACGUGUCAAUUCACCAAGUAUUAUAAAAAAAAAUAAUAACUUAGGAGUGACAAAGAUAAACAAGACCUUAUAAUAAUUAGACUUGAACAUCUACUUAAGGUUCAACUCAUUGUAGUGGAUUAAUUAUCACUAAUAUAAAUAGAUCACUAAUAGAUUAAAGACAAUAGAUCAUUAGAAAUAAAAGACAAGUUACAAUGAUGCUUUAGGAUGAUAGGGUUUUCUAGUGAUUAUAAUACUAUGUGACAUCUUCUUUUUAACAUAAGACUUUUCCCCCCUCUCAACACACAAAAAAACUUUCUCCUUCUCAAGAAAGAGGACAUGAUUACUGCAAUGUCGAAUACAACAUUUCAAAUGAUAGUUUUAUUUCAAAUAACAAUUUCUCAAGUAAGACCCAUCAGUCCGAUGAUAAUUUUCUAUCAAAAUGGCAUUUUUUUAGAUAAGCCCAUCAAUUUGAUAACAAUUUUCUUUUAGAUGAUUUUAAUUUCAAAGAGAAGUCCAACUGGAUGAUGAUAAUUAUUUUUUUCCAAAUAGUAUUUUUAUUCAAGGAAAGCUUAUUAAUCUAAUGACAUCUUUCCUUUCAAAGAAACUCUUUUCUUUUCUUUACAAACUCACAAUACAAAGUCAAAGAAAAAUAUAUUUUUUUUAUUUUGUACCAUAAGUAUUGUAAAGAGAGAAAAACUAUUGUAAUUGAUUUUUUACCCCACAUUCAAAAAGAAGAAGAAGAAAUAUUAAAGAGUGAAAUGACAAUUAGAUUAAGAAAUCAGGACCAAAAUAAAACAUACAGGAGUUUAAGUCCAUCUAAAAAAAAACUAUGGAUUUAAAAUAAAAUAGGAAAUUAGGAGGUUAAGAGAUAAAAUAGAGGAGAAAAGAUUAGUAUUUUAAUUUUUUUUUAUAAAGAGCCUAUAAAUAAAGGAAUAAAGAGUGCAAAAAAAUUUAAUGGAAGCAAUAUUAGAAAGAACCGAGAAACAAAAAAAAAUCCCAAAGUAAAAUCACAAGCAGACAAAAAUAGAGAGUAAUAAAGCAAAGAGAAAAAAGAAGACUAGCAAAAAUAUAAACAUAAAAGAAAAAAAAAAAUCCUGACCCUUUUUUUUCUUCCAUCUUCUUCCCCUCUCUCCAACAUCACCGCUAGCCUUUUUAUAAUUAUACAUAUAUAUUAUUUGUUUUUCAAAAAUAUGAAUUCAAUCCAUGAGUUUAAAGGCUCCCUUUUGAUUUUUUUUUUUUCAUAUAAUAAACUGUUAUCCUACUAGUAGAGUCGCUCUUAAGGUGGGAACAUUUAUUUUUUAAAAAAAAUUAUACCAAUAAAUUUAUCUUUGUUUAUAAAUAUUUUUCCUUUUUAUUAAUGUCAAUUAGUGUUUUUUUAAAAUAAUUUUUUUAUGUGAUUAGGUUAUUAUCCUAUUAUUACUAGUGAAUUUAGUCCGAGUUAACGUGAUCCCAAAAAGACUUAUUAAGUGUGAAUAAUGGUUUUUAGGUUUAUUUUAGGCAUGAUCCAAGAAACGGGUUCAAAGUUCGAUUUGUCAUUUGUCAUAGUUCAGAUCCAACACUUAUUAUUUUAAAUAUGGAUUGGACUUUAUUAUCAAGCACAAGUCUAAAUUAUUAUCUUAGAUUUAGUGAUAAUUUUUCUUUUAACCAAUUAUACACAUACCAAUUUAAGCCAAUUUUAGCAAUAGCUCUUACAUAUUUUUAUCUUUAGAAACAAGCAGAAUAAAACUUACCUUAUAUAGAAUGCUUUAGAAAGGUGCUUAUUUUUACUUUAGCAUAAACAACUUUUUAUCUAAAACUCGGAAGACUAAUUAGGUUUUAUUUUUUUAUUUUUACUCUUAGUUCGUCAAGAUGCCCCGUGGAACAAUAUAUAAAAAUAUCCUUUAUUGUUCAAUAUAAAAUUACUAUAAAAAUUUGUUUUCCAUAAACGGCACAGUAAAAUAUACUCGUGGAAAUCCAGGGGAAAAAAAAAUCUCCAGUCUCUGCUCUUCGGGCAGAUAAGUUAUCACUGUGAGCCUGGCUUUAUAUGAUGAGGUCCUUUCUUUGAAGUGUGACCCAAAUCCUUACUAGGUCGAUGUGGUUGGCCCAAAGUUGCUCUGUCUGUGCCUAGUGAAGUUGAGAGCAGGCUUAAUGUUAUUGUAAUCAAACUCGAACUCAUGCUCGAACCCAAAUUUGGACUGAACUUGCUGACCACAAAAAUCAUAACCUAUCAGAUAAGAAAGGUUAUAUAGACACAAUUUGGACAAAUACCAAAAGGCCCUGAAGGGGGGGCCGAUUUGACCUCAACAGGCCUUUCAAGAACCUGAAAGUGUUCUUGCAGUGGGACUAUCAAUGGAGUCUGGUGGCUUGGCUCGUUGCCUUUGUCUCACCCUACGUAAAACCUAAGUGAUAUACUAUAAUACCAUGUAUUUCUUCCUUGACACAACAGAUAACAACUAGCCCCCAACCCUACGGAUUCUAUGAUCAAUACAACGAAGGAAAUGGCUAAACAUAGAUUCUUUCCAGCUUAGUCCAAAUUUUAAAGGCUCAUAAUAAUUUGUGCAGGGGCAUCAAAUCAGAAAUCUAGCUGUAGGUCGCUUUCCUUUGUGCAUAAACUUAUUUCUCAAAUGGAAAAUGCCAGUAGCAUUAUUAUUUACUUUAGGGUUGCUGGUCUCACUUCUUAGUAAAGACAAUCAACUCACUGUCCAUGAUGGUACACGCACACUUUUGCAUAUUUUAAGACCAUUAUGACUUCCAAAAAUCAUGCAUGUGUCUGUCAUUAUAUGUAGAGAUGAAUUGAUUAUAUAUAGCUGGCCAGCAACAUUAGACGGUAAAUGGUCAAAUUUAAUUAGAUGGGACAUAAUUAAUUGGCCAACCAACUCUUCGUUACAUCUAGAGAAGGCAGAGAGGACUUACUGCUCUCUUCUUGUAUUGUUAGCCAUCUUCAUCUGGGCAAAAUUUGGAUAGCCUCCUAAUUGUAGUAAAACUAUUUUAUUAGUAGUUGUGAUCACAACCCUAUCUUCAAUCUUCUUAAGAGUUGUAAUCAUGAAAUUAAUUUAUCCUCGAUAAUUCACUAUUAAAACAAUCAGGAUAUUACAGUUGGAGAAAUAUAAAUACAUGGCCGGACUAUAUAUAGAAAUCCCACUAAACCGGUGCUUCUUACAAUGAUGUUCUUUAAUAUUGAUCAUAAAUGGUAAUAACAAUGGAAACUGGUAUAUAUGGAUUACCAUCUUCUUACUCUGAUGUUAACAACAAAUCAAAGGAAACUGCAACCCGUUUCAGUCCCCAUCUUUGCUUUAGCUUCAUGACAUUUUGAAGCCUCUCUUACUUCUCUUUUAUCUUUGUUUCCUUUGGCCAAUUCUCUCGUUUUGGACAUUGUACCAUCUUUAAUUUUAAUAGAAUUACUAGAACAAUAUUCAUAAAAAAUAAAUAAACAAAGAAAUCUGAACGAGAAAGGCUGAUUGUGGUUCUUUGUAUCUUCAUUUAAUAUCUACCAUCUUUUAUAUUAAGGUUUGCCAGUUAUAAAACUUUGGAAAAUGCUAAACUAUAAUACAUCUUUCAUGGUUCAUGUUGAUCACCAAUGGAGACUGAUCACUUUUAUGAUAGUUGACCAGGUCAUGAGAUCAAUAAUCCAGUGGUUCCAUAAAUGUUAAUAAGCAAGGAUCAGGCUUUGCAUGUAACAACCAGUUGAAAUAUUUCUAUAGGCCACAUAUAUAUAUAUAUAUAUAUAUAUAUAUAUAUAAAUUCAUGGAUACGGUUGUGUGUGCGUGUAUAUAUAAUAUAUAUCUGCGUCAUCAUGGACUACAAUUUAUGAAUUCUUACAUCUUAAAAUCUUUGCUGCUGUCACCAUCAAAGAAAUAUAGUAUAUGCAGGGUGUUGCACGGGUAUAGUAAUUUGGCCUUUCUUUGUUAUCUUGUGUCAACACCAACUUUCCCUCCUACAUGCCUCAAUAAUGCAAGAUCAUCGCACGUCCUUAACCAAAAUAAGCAAAGAAGAACCAAACAGCUAGCUGUCUAAGCAAUACUUCAUACGGUAAGAUAUCAGUUUGAGUGACAACAGAGAGUAUGUACCAAGCUAGUUCCCUUUACUGAAGGACAAACACAAGAACACUAUCAAAAGACAAUCAAAGUAGAAUUUUAAGCAACAAUUCAAGUACUCGUAUAGUGGAAGUUCCUUCUUUGGAUUAUUUUAUUCUUUCCCUUCUUUUCUUUUUGUGGAUGAAAUAUGGGUUGUUAAUGAAUUUCCUCAUGUAGUCAUGUUCUUGAACACAAUUUGUAAGCCUUAAUUUGUUUGCAUAUUGAGCACAUCCCAUAUAUCUUGGACAACAAAAUGAAAAGAAGAAACAUCAUCAGUACAAAGGGAAAUCGAAAAUGCUCAGUGCAAUAUUGCUGGCUACCAAUAAUUAAGUUUUAGAAAUUUGUGCAAACACUUCCGGAAUCUUGCUCAUCAUUUUAAUGUAAAUUAAAACUAAGACUAGCUAGUAGAGGCGAGGGAAACAAAAGGUUUGAUUGAUUUAAUAAAUAUGGUUCCUCUGUACAUGCCUUGCUACCUUUUAGCAUGCACCUCCUGAUUUUAUUUUUUUUUAUAUCUAGUCUUGCAAAGAAAAAAAAAAGAAGAAGAAGAAGAAAUAAGAAAUAGAAGAUCUAGAAUUUAUAGAAAGUAGCUACUUUUCCAUCGAUGUUCCUAUUUACCAUUGACUAGCUCAGUAGCCUUGGCAAGAGUUCUCAUGACAUCAACCUGAGCUCGAAGUGAUUCUAUGUAGUCUAGGGUUUCUUCAAUCAGAGAGAUAUCAUCCAUAAAUUCCCCUCCAGGUACAAGACUCUUCAAUACUUGUGUUCUUCUAUUUACCAUCCUUUUAGCAAUAGAUUUAGCAAGAACAACUUGCGGUUCACUUUUUCUUACUCUUUUAAUGCAGCAACUCCUCUUCAAGAUUUUCUUGCAUCUAACCCUCUUGUUGUCCAUGACCAAUCCAAUUGACGCGUUCUUUAGCCUCUCACUCUCAGGAGCUAAUAGGUGCUGAACAAGGACUUUAUUAUCAUCAUGUUUUGAAGCAUUGGCAAUGAGUGCACGACUCCAACAAGUCCUUCCAUCUCUAGUAGAAGCUAAGGCAAUGUCUGCUGAUAGCUCUAUUGCCUUCUUUCUCUCCAAGAUGCUCAUGUUCUGCUUCCCAGAACCACAUACUUGGAGACCCAAUAUCCAUUUCUUGAGAAAUUGUUGCUUGAGUGAACUAGGAUCGCGCAUUCUGCAUAAGAUAAGAAGACAGUACAAGAAGAAUUUGAAAGAGAUGUGAGCACAGGAAAAGAAAUGCUACAAGCUUUAUAGCUUCAGUCUAGCUGCUAGUUUGGUCAGUUAGCUGGCUUUAUACUUUUCUUAAUAUUUUCUUCCAACAAUUUUUUCUCAACCAAAGAGAGGAUCCAUAGCAUAGAAUUGAAGAAGUAAAUAUAUUUCCAAACCAAGAAAUUAAGAAAGGAAAAAUGGGAAAAGAUUUAAAGAGCGAGUGAGUAUAAGUUAAUAAGAUUUAAGGAAUCAUGAGAGGGUGAAGGUGGACAAUUAUUUCAAAAAGAAGACGAUGGCAAGUUUAAGGUGAAUUUAUGCACUUUCAUGGAUCUAUCUAGUCAUGGGAACUACAUGAUGCAUUGUUGGAGCAAGAUAUAUAAUGAUGUGAAGCAUACCUUUGUUGUAUAGAGCAAGAGCACAGAAAAUCAUAAGAAGUAAGUAAGACAAGUUGCAGAAUGAUGCAAUUCUACGAUCCAAGAAAGUGUGUCUCAGAAUCCUAGAAUGAUGUAAGAGAGAGAGAGAGAGAAUGAGAAGGAAGAAGAACGUGAAGGAAGAAGAAAGUGAAGCCACCCCAUUUAUUUGCUCAAAGGAAAAGCAGCAGUGGGCCUUUAAGAGAGAAAGACACAGCACAUGCAGGCACAUGGUGUCCAUGGCCCACCACACAAACCCUAGAACUAGAAGAUGUAAAAAAGAAAUCGGCCCUAAGAUAUAAAUUAGUCCCUAUAGUCUUGCAAAGUUAAUUGGAUAAUCCCCCUGGUCUUACGAAUCAUUAAUUAGUCCCUAUAUUCUUAAAUCUAUUUUCAACUUGACCCUUUUCACUCAUUUCAUGUUAUUUCUUUCUUUUCUUUUCCUUUUUUAAAAAAAAUAGAAAAAAAAAGAUAAUAUAGAAAGAAAACAAGGGAUGAAACGUGGACAUAUUAAAACAUGUGGUUUCUUUAGGUACCAAAUUUGUACAAGAAGUUCGAAUAAAAAAAGAAAAGAAAAAGGAGAAAGAAGUUAGACAAACAAUUCUUUAUUAUAUAUGCUUAGCAGAAAUUAUUGUUUCUAGACUGGCAUUGGAAUUUGUAUUCAUACAAAGUACUUGUGUUAAUAUCUAGGAUUCAGAAAGGAAAGGAGUACUUCGGACAAAGAUUGAGUAAAAAGCAUUUGGAAUUCAUGAGUUGUCCUUCAAGACUUUAUACAAAAUUAAGAUCAAUAUCCCAAAGUAUAUGUAUAAAUCGUUCUUUAUUUCUAUUUUCUUUACUUAGCAUUCGGAUGCUUAAUGAUCUUGAAUUAGUACAGAAAUUAAAGCAUUUUUCCUAUUCCCAAUUACUAUUUUAAAAUUCCUAAUUACUCAUAAGAAAUUCCCAAUUAACAUUCAGAAUUAAGAAGUUUUAAGUUGGACUUUUCAACUACGUUAAUAAUUUCAAACCUCUUUUGCAGGUCUGUCCAAGCUAGCUAGGACGUGUUCCACGACAAAAUAUGUGCUAUGAAAUGUAAAUUAAUGAUAGAAAUCUCAGUAAUGUUGCAAGAAUAUAUUUGACCAGUCCAAUAAAAUUAAUCACCAGAAUUAUUAUCAUUAUCAUUAUUAUUAUUAUUAUUAUAAAUAUUUAGGCUAGUUUACAUGUAAUUUGACUAAUUUUUCAAGAUCCUGAAGUUAAUGAUCAGGUAAGUCUCCAAUAAUCCGAGAUUUGUAACACUCAAACUGGUAAUUUCUAUAAAACAAACCAGAUGUUAACUAGUUAAAAUACACCCACUCAAAGUUAAUUAUUAUUAUCAUUUUAAUUUUUGGGCUUCUAGUUCCAUGGAAUUGCACUGCGAGGAUGUUUAUUUGGGGAGAAGAAUUGGCAGGAUCCGGAAAACAUGGCAAUGCUGAGAGGGAGAAAACUGAAAAGGACCCACAUAAGAGAAAUUUUAUGGCAUGGGGUUCGGCUUUGGACAGAGAAUAGAGAGAAAAUAAAUUUCUCACAUGGUCUCCACAUGGGAUUUUAAAAGGAUGGUCUUGUGUAGGCUCUCUCAAAGUACAAUCUUCUUCAAUGAUUAAAUACAUACAUAUACAUAUAGAUAUACAUAUACAUACAGGCAUGUUCACGAUAUGGUAUGAUACGGUCCGGUCGGUUUGAACCAAAAAAUCUAACCGCACUAAAGUUUUUAAUAUCUAGAAAUUUCAACUCGAACCAAACCAAAAACUAGUUCAGAUUAAACCAGUUCAGAUUAAUUCGAUAGAAAUAUGGUAGGUACUUGAGAGAUUUUUUAUACACUAUCACUUAUAUAACAUUAAUGUUGAUGGAAAUAUGAUAGGUCUAUAGAGGGUUUAUACAUUUAAAGGUAUAGGGAGAGUAGGAUCCAAAAUGUAACUGAGCCUAUAGAGACUAAGUUUUUCCUCUAGAUUGAGCCCAUGAUGUUGGGCUAUUUUCAAGGCUGGGCCCAUGAUGUUAGUCUCUUCCCCAAUAUUAGGCAAUUCCCAAAGUUGAGCCCAUGGUGUUGGUCUCUUCCCCGAUGUUAGGCUAUUCCCAAGGUUGAGCUCAUGGACAUUGGGCUUUUUUAGGCUGAGCCCAUAGAGGCUGGACUCUUCCUUUAAGUUAAGUCCAUGGGGUCGGGUUCUUCCCAAGACCAAACCCACAAAGGUUGGGUGCCGACCUUGGACAAGUUGCUUAAAACUGUGGGUUUUCGAGCCUUUGAGGGUUUUUUAAGCCUGUUAAUUUUGCUAAUAAAAUAUAAGUAGGUUUUGACCAACCUUUUAAGGGUAAAAUUUCAUGUUUUAAAAUAAUUUCAUUUGGUUGGUUUAUAGGGUUGCAACGUAUCCAUUAUCUGCAAAUAUAUAUAUAUACAAAUUGUUUCAAUGCUUUUUCUUAUAUAAAAAUUUUUAAGUGUAAAUCAAAAAAAUUAUUCAAGUAUUUCAUUGUUUGCAACAAAUUAAAAAUUAAAAAACUGAAAUAAAAAGAAAUUAUAAAUUGCAACCUUUUAUUUCAAGCACUGUGUUUUUAACACUUUUUGGGACGUUGUGAAAUAUUUUUUUAAAUCAAGUAGAGUUUUGGACUAAUCUUCCGACCUAUCUUUGAAUCAGUUAUUUUUAUUCUAGUACAUGGUUAGUGUUAAAAACAAAUUUAACAUUUAUUUAUGCUUAAUUUUUUUAAUUUUUUUAAUAAAUAUGUUUAUUAGAUUUUGAAUUCAUUAUUAUUAUUUUUUAUUUUCUAAAACAAUUAUUAGCUAUACUUGAUUAUUUUUUUUGGCAUUAGAAUCUUUUUUUAUUCAACCCGAAAUUUUCGCGUAUAACUAAUGCUUGGUACCUUGUUAAAAGAAAACAGAGGCGGGAAACUAGAGGAAAAACCAAACCGUCUUAGGCAACAUAGAAUGCGGCAAUAAUCACCGCAGGAUUUUAUUAAUACAAUAGGCUAUUAAAUAUACUUACUUAAUUAUCGUCCACUUUUUUAUAUAUAUAUAUUUGCAUUAUAGACUCAAUCUUAAUUAAUUUGUUUUAUAUUUAAUUUUUUAAUAUAGAUUACUGAUCUUUCCACAGAAGAUCCAUUAUUAAUUAGAAAAAUAGUAAUUUUUAACCAAAAAAAAGGGGUAAUAUAUAUUCAUGCCCUUAGGAAUUACAUAGAAUGUCUUUUAAAAAAAAAACUCUUUUUAUGGGGUGGGACCAAAAUGGAAAAAUGAUUGCUUUGACGUCAUUUGGCUCAUAGAGAAGAAAAACGAGAGGCGCAUGCGUUUGCCCUUUGCCUUUGUUCCCCGGAAGUCCCUCGCCGUGUCUUCCAAACAAACAGCUUAUUCACUUUCCCUUUCUCUUUCUGUCUAUCUUUCAGACAGACACUCACACUUGUUGAGGUGAAUGUGUAGCUCAGCUUAAUUUGAGGGAUUGCUUUAUCAUGUGCACUAGUGGUAGUGGGCUCCAUUGUCAAAUAAUAAAAACUAUUACAAUUCCAGUUUGAAAUCCUAUUGAAUUUUACAAAACUUUCUUGAAUUUAACAAAUAAAAGAGAAUUUUUUGGUAUUGUUAUUAAAUUUAUCUUAGGGGGUCAAUUUUAAAACCUUCCGACCUGACUCAUUGCCUAGCCAAAUUUAAAAUUACACUCUACGGGAGCUGCCCCGAUAUGACUUAAUUAAUUUGACGAGUUCAAAGACAACCCUACUGACCAGUAAAAAAAAUUUGAGGAUGAAAUUGAAAAAAAAAAGAAAAAAUUGAUAGGAGAAAAAUUCAGAUCCAACUUUUUGCCUAACUCAAGAUUAAAAUUAAAACUUUGAGGAUAAAAUUGAGAGAAAAUAGAUGUAAUUGACAAAAAAAAAAAGAUCUCUCGAUCUGAUUCCUUACUUAACCUGGGUUUAAAAAUAAAUCAUGUAAAAGUUGUCCUGAUGUGACUCGGUCGACUUAGUGCAACUCGUUGGAUUAGUAAGAAAAGUCUGAGGAUAAAGGUUUUUUUUUAAGAAUUAAAUUAAAAAAAAAUCUCUUGACUCAUCUUUUUGUCUAGUACGAGUUAAAAUUAAAUCGCGCAGGAGUUGCUCCAACAUAAUUCGGUUGACUUGGUUGAUUUAAAGACAAUCCAAAUGACUAUUAAAAAAUAUGAGGAUAAAUUGAGAAAAAAAUGAAAUUUAAAGGAAAUUAAAAAAAAGGGGGAAUAAAAAAAGGAGCUAAAUUGAAAAAUUAAAAGAAAAAAAAAAAAAAAAGAGGAGCUUCAUUGUUCACAUGAAUAAUGAAUCUACAAAAUAGGCUAAUUCUUUUAGUAGAGAAAGAUAAUUUCUAAUAUUUUAUAAUUUUUUAUUUUCUAAUUUGGACAUUAUACAUUUAUUAUGUAUUCAUAUCAAUUAAAAAAGUUAUACAAUGAAAUACCUUUCCUCAAAACGAUAUUGUUGUUCUUUCUCUACUAAUACAUUACUUUUUUUGUACUUGAUAUCAUAAGUGUUAUCUUUGAUUGCCUACAUGAGAUUUAGAGUAUGUUGGCCAAAACUUUAUAUUAUAGAUUAAAUGAAUCAUAAAUCUUUACAUUGAAUUAACAAGCAUUUUCUAUUAAGUAACUUGCUCUUCCUCUAUCAACCUAUUAUGAUUAUCUUGUUAAAAGUUUCUAGAAGUUGUACUAUGGUGAUAAGAUUAUAAUAAAAAUCCUAAUUAUAUUCUCGUAUAUAAAAAGUCAAUUGUAUGAUUGCGUGUGUGUAUCUUCUUAAAUGGAAUUGAUAUAGAGUAUGAACAAAUUCAAUGUGAGAUUCUUAAAAAGAACAUAAUAAUGGAUUUUAAAGAAACUUAUACAUUUAUACAUCAUGAUGUUAUUCACAGAACAAUACUGAAUGAGGAACAUGAUGAUCAUCUAGAGUCAACUGUCAUAGUGGUUUAUUGAACAACAUUGAAUGAGGAACUUAAUCAUCCAGAGUCAAUUGUCAUAGUGGUUUGCUAGUCCAAACUUCAAUAAAGGUAAAUUAAUCUACAAUCUAAGUGAGCAUCUAGCUUACUAAAUCAUGAAGCUUAUCAAGAUUGGUCAUUCGGAUCACAAAAUUGUAGUUAUGAAGUAAGAGUUUUAAGAUCAAAGUGUUUGUGUACACAUUAUAUUGAAACUUGACAUACUAAGUCACGAUGUUAUGAGUUGAUUAGAUAUUUAUAAUGGUAGGAUCCUACCAAGACACCCAAUAAUUAAAAUUCUAAACCAGAUCACCAUGCCUUUGUUGUUAUAGUAAAAGAAGUUGUUGUCAUCGAACCUUUUACUAGAGAAUCCUUAACCUUGAUCGCGACUUUAGGUAACCUAGGUAAAACUCUUAAAGUUUAUGCACCUAAUAAUAAUAAUUGUGAAUGGAUAAUUGAUUCAAAUGCUAUAGAUUAUUUAACCUAUCAUAUUAUAUUGAAACUUGACAUACUAAGUCACGAUGUUAUUUACCCUUGAUGUUAAAUUUCAUUAUAAUGAUAUAUAUGUAUUAUUUUGAUCCUAAGUCCAAUUCAAGGGGAGAAUAUGAGUGAAUUACAACUCUCUAGACACUUUGGAUUUGCAUAAUUAAUCAUUCUUAGAUUUAAUCAUUCAUAAAUUGUUGUUAUUCAAUUCAUACACUCUUAUAAUGAAGAACAUAUGAAUGCCAUCAUUCAUAUCUUGCGCUACUUAGAUCUAAAUCAAUCACAAAAUAUGACUCUUAUUAGCCUAACUUUUCUUGUCAAAAAUUACCCAAAACCUAUCAUACACCUCUCAUUUAUCUCUCUCACACAUGAGUUUGAUAUAUGUUAUAAAUUAUACAAGAUUGGAUAUUGCUGACUUGGUGAAAAAACUAAGUAGAUCUACCAAUAAUUUAUGGUGGGACAAUUAAAAAUCUAUAAAUGUGGUACUUAAAUAUUUGAUAUAUACUUUAGACUAUGAGUUGCACUAUAUUGGAUACUCAGCAAUACUUGAGAGUUAUGGUGAUGCAAAUUGGAUAUCUAACAUUACGAACUCAAAAUCCACUAGUUUAUAUAUUUUCACACUCAAUAGAGUAGUUCAGUAUUGAAAAUCAUCUAAUUAAACCUGUAUUGUAAGAUCACAAAUGUUUUAUUACUUUUGAUAAAACUGGACAGGAAGUUGAAUUACUUCAAAAUUUCGUAAAGGAUAUUCAGAGUUUGCCAAAACUAGUGCUAGUGGUUUGUGUCCAUUAUGACGACCAACAACUGGAAUGGCACAAAGUAGCAUGUAUAAUGGUAAGUUUGGGGGGGGGGGGUGUUUGUGUAAUACCAUUAAAUUGUUGCUUUUAAUUGAAAUUAUUUUUGUUGACUUUAUGAGGUCAAAGAAAAAUACUACAAAUCCGUUUACUAAAAUUUUAACGACAUAGUUUGUGUGUAGUUCAUAAAAAAAAAUAGGCUUAAAUGAAUACAUAUAGUAUACAUAUAAUAUGAGAAAUCACAUACAUGAGAGAAAAAUAUGGCUAUUUCUUUAAAAACAUUGAAAAGCUAAAUUCACUAGGUCAUUCAUGAACCCAAAGUUGUUCAGUGCUAAAAUGAAUACAAAUGUAAGAAGUAAAAAAAAAAUUAUUGUAAGAGAAAUAUGUAAGUAUUAUUAUCUUGGUUUACAUAAGAGGCUGAAUAAUUCAAGACAUAAUGUCCAUUAAUUACUUUCUCUCUGAUAUAAUGAUCUAUCAAUUUACUAGACAAUUUUCAUUCAUGUAAAAAUAAUUGGAAAUUGAUUUUGAUAUGAUUAAAAGUGGGGUCCAUUCAUAUUUAGAUUUAAUAUUUUAUUGAAUAAUAUUCUCAAACAUAAAUACUUUAAUAUGAAACAAUAACAUUUCUAAAACUUUAAUCUAAAAAAAAUUUUAAUUGGCAAAAUUUUCAAACCCAAAAACCUUAAUCUCAUAUUAGAAGAUUUCAAGAGGCUUAUAUAGUUGCAAAAAUUAAGCUUGUGGGCCACAAAACUUUCUAAGUUGAGAGAUCUUAGACGUUAUAGGAUAUGGGUUAAAACAACACUCUCAUAAUCGUUUCGGCUUAUGCUUUAAUUUAGGUUAAUUGUAAAAUAAUUUUUUAAUUAAGAAUAUUUUUUUCCAACCUAUCUAGUCAUUGAAUAUGUCACGUUUUCAAAAUUGUUUUGUUUGAUAUGUUAUCAUCUUACUUAAUACCUAGAGAGUUUUGGUUAAAGUCUUAAACAUCUUUGAUAUCUAGAUUAAUAACUUAAAUAUUUUUAAUAUCUUAAAUGUUUUUAAUAUUUUUAUUUAAAAAUUACUAAAAUGAAUACUCUGAAUCAAAAUUAAUCCUUGCAACCCAGGUCCUUAGAGGAUGGAGGCACUAUGUAUAGGCAUAACAACAAGUUUAGCAAGCUCUACCUUUUUUGCAAUCCUUUUCAUAUUGUCUUCUUCAUGUCUUUUUUAUUUUUUCUAUUAUGUAGUUCUAUAGCUUUUAAGUUCAGUUGUUUUAUGGAGAUAAUCAAGUUUGUUUUUCAAUUUAAUUAUUAACCUUGAAAGGUAAUUUUAAGAUAGUGUUGUUGGAGUUUUUAAAAACUAUUUGCUUUAAAAUUGUUUAUACCAAGUAACAAAAAUAUUAUCUUUAAAGAUAAAGGGUAUAAAACCUCUUUAUUUUCUUAUUUUCAUUCAAAAUCCAGCAAUUAAAUACCCUAUUUUAUUUACAUUAUUUUAAAUUUAUUGCUUAUUAUAGAUUUGUAAGCUGUGUUUUUUAUUAUUAUUAUUAACCCUGCCUGUUUUCACAUUGCAUUAUACUAAACAAUUAAUUCUUACCAAGACAAUAUGCAUUCUUAAUUAGGUAAGACUCCAAUGUGAUGCUUAACAUAACUAUUUAAAUCUAAAUUAAUCAUAUAUAAAAUGUGACUCUUGUUAGCCUAACUUUUCAUAUAAAAAAUUGACCACAUCCUAUCAUGUAUCCCUCGUAUACCUUUCUCACACGUGAACUCGUACACACACGCACGUGGUGGGUUCUUCCUUAAUCUCUGAGUAUUAAUUAAGACCUUAGGAGAAUUAUCUGCCUAGGAUGUUUGCCUAUAUAAAGAUCCCCAGCUCUUCAAGCUCUUACACAUCUCCUCCCUUCCUCCAUCCCUUGCCGUCUCUCUCUCAAAGAAAACACCCUCUCUAGGACGUCGCCCCCUCUCUCUGAGACACAAAAUGAGAAAACGUUCUUGCAAAUGGAGAAAGAUGAAAAGGCCGAAACUCUCAUCAAUCAGGAACAACCCUAGGAGUACUGCUAGAGUUUCCAUGCGGAAGAAACUGCAUCAGCUCCACAAGAUCAUUCCAGGCUGUGAAGUUAUGGACAAUAUGGAAACUUUAUUCCAAAUGACUGCAAACUACAUCUUUGCACUGCAACUUAAAGCGAGCUUUCUCCAGAGUUUAUGUGUUUUCUAUGAUGUCUAAUCUGAGAGGUGCAUACUCAGGCUUGUUCAAACUAGCUAGACCCUGCAAGGCAGUAAUUCUAUAGGAAAGUUGAAUUCAAAGCAGGAUAUGCUUUAAGAAUUCGUCUUUGUUAUCUUGAUCUUGUACCUAAAAAGGAUGUGCUUUGUGAUUUAUUUUAAUAUUGCAGGGUGAUUAAUAACGAUAUUUAUGAAUUGUUGUUAUAGAUUGGCUCAUUGAUUAGAAUGGGAAGAUUUUAACUGAGGACGCGUCAAGAACUACUUCAUGAAGAUUUUAAUAAACUGGGGUUACAAAAAUAAGAUCUUCAUUUUCUUCAUUAAUUCCCUCACUGGUACCAGUAUUUAGCCAUUGUCAAACCUUAUUUUUCUCUUAGUUUUAACAAGAGGUAUAAUAAAUCUAAUAAUUAAGCUUUAGGCUAUACAAUAAAAAAAAAAAUACACCCGAAUUAUUGAACUAUAUAAUAAAUCUGUUUUUUUUUACAAGGAUCGAUUCUUUACUUGAUGGGUCACGGCUAGGUUGUAUGAUUGACAAACAAACAAUGCUUUGACUAAUUAGUAAACCAUGUCGUGACACAGUCGUAAAAUUAUUGCAUGGACAGUUUAAUUAAUUGAGUGGUGUAGAGGACCUUAUCGUUAUAAAUUGAUUGAUUUUCUGAGCAAGGAACUCAUUGUGAUUGUUUUGUUCUAUAGAUCAAAUUUAUAAAAGAAAACUCUCGAUGAUCCAAAUUAAUUUUGGUUGUCUUGUAAAUUUGGCAUGCAGCAAUUAAUCAUAGUGACAUUUUUAGAAGUAAAAUCCCAGUUAACUUUCUUUCUUCUCUCCCCUCUCGAAAAAUAUUUUCCCCUUGUUGUCCAUGUUAUUUCAUCACCGGCGACCGCAAUCUUUUCUUCUUCUUCUUCCUCUUCUUCUUAUUUAGAUUGUAGUUAUCUUGAAUAAAGAUUUGAUGAUUGUUUUAAAUUAGUUAAAACAUUUUGAUAUUAAAUGACGAGCAAGAAUUUUCUUUAUUACGAAGCAUGGUAGUGCUAUAUGUUUCCUUCUUAAUUUAUGAUAGCUUAAAGUAAUAUGAAUGUGGCAUGCUGCAUGUCUCUACAAAAGCAUCCCAAGUUAGGAGUUUGAAGAGGGUAGCAGCUGGUCAUUCAUAUAAAGAUAUUUUAAUUUUAAAAAAAAAACAAAAAUAAACAUUCUCGUAUUAAUUGCGGUGUGCUAAAUGCAACUCUGGAUAUAAAACAAAGCCAAACCAAGAAGAAAAACGGGAGGCAAUUAAAAAAAAUAAAAAAAAUCCUCCGUAUUUCCCACUCAUCUAGCACACACACUCUCAUUUUCAAAAAAAACUCUACCUUAGCCCCUCUCUCACUAAGAAAAUUCUAAACAGGCCCUUCAAAAUCUAUAAUCUUACUUUUCUACCUUCACUUUAUUAUUUCUAUCUUUUGUUGGGGUCCCACGGCGCCACCCAUAGCAUAAGUAGUAGAUCCACCCUAUAUAUAUAUAGUACGGAAAAAACUAGAAAUUAAUUACAAAAUUGAAAGUAGCCAUAUAUAUAACGUAUUUAUUUAGGUAAAAAAAAAAGGUGAAUAAAUUCUUAUUUCUAUUAUUUUCUUUGAAGAACACGUCUUUUCACCAUCAAAGAUAAACUAUAUUUCGGUAACUUCAAUCACAGUCACGAGGCUCGUAUACACAACCUUAUUUGCAAAUUAAUUUCUUAUGAAAGGAGCCAAGCUUGGCUCCAAUAAUUUGGUAAUGGCAGAUGCAUCGAACUUCGGUAUGAAAUUGACAACCCUAAAGUUCUUUUUGGCCCUUUCUAUUCAAGGUCAAAGAAACUUUUUUAGCUAGCUUAUCUCAACCUUCACACUUCGUGCACAUGCCGUACACAUGGGUUUUGAUUUUCAUGCCAUCGAUCAAAGUUUCAAACUUGAAUCGGUAAUGUUUGAUUGGCCUAUCAAUUGAUGGAUCAGUUUCCUGGAUUUGCAACUCACCAAUCAUCCAAAUUACUCAUACAAUUGCCAAUUUAAUGUACACACACACCAUGGAAUUAUCUUAUAGAUGUUAACGUUUAUAUAAUUUUUUUUUGUAAAAAAAAAAAACUUUCUAAGAAAAUGGAGAAAAAUAUUUUGUAAUAUUAAGGUCGAUCACUUUGAAACAUAAUUAAUUAAGCUACUAAGAAACAACAUCCACAUAUGUACCACUAAUUAAUAGAAUCUACAACAAGAAUAAACAGAAAAAGAAUUACAUCAACAUAAUAUUUAAGAGUGCUCUUAUCUACUGUAAAGUAUGUAUUGAUAAAUUACGAGUCCUCUAGUUUUAUAAUAAUUAAAAAAAUUUAAUUGAUCUUUCAGAUUUUCUAAGUAAAAGGUUGCUAAUGUAAUAGAAAAUAUAUGAUGACUCUAUUUAUUAUACGUAAAAUAAGUUGUAUUAUUUUUUAUUUUAAAAUUAAAUGUGUUCAUUAUGCUUAGGGAUAAUCAAAACCUAAUGUUUUUUUUAUUUUAGAUUUAAACUAAAGAGUGGUUUUGGAUUUGAGCUCGAGAAGACUCAAUCCUUACUUUGACGAAAGACAUGUAUUGGACCUCACAUAAACAUGUAGUCACCAAUUUAAAUAUCCAAUAAUCAACCUUUAAAGAUAGGAAUUGAGAAUGGUCAUCUGAUCCUAGAUCGAGCUCUCAACAUAUAUGACAUCAAAUAUUCAACACAACCACCAAAAAUACAUAAACAAUAUACUAAGACAGCUAAAUAUGUAUUCAUCAAUUUUAAUACAUGGGCAAAACACCACAAACAAUUGUGAUUUAAUAUAUGAUUUUGUUUGUUCCUUUUGGUUUGAUUAUUAUCAUAGUUAAGGUUGAAUUUUUGUUUAUUUUGAGGCUAAAUUUGGUCGAUUUUUGUAUGGAUUUGGGUUAGAAGUUGUUGGGUUUAUAGUGACUGGUGUUUGCUCUAAUUGUGUUGUGUGAGAAUGAUGACAAUUACUAUUGUCGUGUGGGAUCAAUGAGGGAGAGAGUUAGUUGUUAUUGAACUAAGAAAAGACUAGUAUGGUUCGAGGAAAUCGGGGAAGGGAGAGUAGGGUUGCAAUUGUUGGUGUCACGGUUAUUAUAGAGGAGAGGAGUUUGUAUGGGAUUGUUGUGGUGGAAGAGACGAGUUUGUUAAAAAAUGAUGGUUAUUCUCAGUGAGGGGACUGAUCGGGAGAGAAGAAGAAUCACAUCCAUAUGGAGAGAUUGUUUUUUGGUGAGGGGUUGUCGGUAGUUAAGUGUCCUAGUUUUUUUUCUUUUACUUUUGCUAGGUUCUUUUUCCCCUACCUCUAUGUUCUUUUAUAGGUAUCUCAAGCCCUUAUUUAUAAUGGUGAACCCUAGGAAAAUAAAACCUAGUGUAAAUAGUACCACAAUUAAAACUAAAUCAAAUAUAGGAACUAGGGUAAAUGGGCAUGGCAAAUAAGCUGGCAUGUGCAACGCAGGUUCUAGUGGGUAAGAGACAUCCACGAUGUUCAAGCGGUGCAUGAUGAGUCACUUGGUGGCCAAACGACAACUUCUAUGGAGGUGUUGGAAGCAUCUAUUUGCACUUUUCUUGGUGGUCCGACACAUGUUGGUAGAAGCAUGACAGUUGAGAUCCAACAAUCUUUUUUUCUUCUCCUCUUGCUUUUCUCUCUCCUCUCCUCAGGAAUCAUGUUGGCCUGCAAAAAAAAAAACAUAUCCUGUCAUUUGUUUUUUUUUAAUCAAAUUUGUUCCUUAUUGUUUUGAUUACUAUUUUUUUUUUGAAUCAUUUUAUUGAUUGAUUUUUUUAAUUUCAUCCAUUUGUAUUUGAUUUCAUUUAAUUUUUAUAUCAACUUUGAUCCUCGAUCUUUUUAUUAUGAUUUUUUAAUUGAUUUAUUUUUUUUAUUUUCAUCACUCAACAUUCAGUUUCAUUUUAUUUUUAUCUCAAAUUUGUUCUUAUCAUUUAGAUUGCUAUUUGUUUUUUUUUCUUUUUUGAUUGAUUGUUUUUUUUUUCAAUUUCACCCCUCAAUAUUUUAUUGAUUGCGGAUUUAGCUUCAUGAUUUUUUUUAUUUGACUUAUAUGGGGUUAGUCUUAGCCUUACGAUCUAGGUUACAAGUUUUAAAGAUUGGUCCGAGUUAACUUUGGUUUUUUUAGGUCCUUUUUAAUUUACUUUUUCAAUUUUAUUAUUUAACAUUGGGUUGGUUGGGGAUUAAAUUUCAUGAUUUUUUCACUUUCCUUUCUAAGAGGUCAUUCCGAUCUUAUAUCUCAUAUCAUGGGCUUAGCAGGUUAACCCGAGUUGACUCGAGUUUUUUUUUUAAUUAAUUUUUUUAAUUUCAAUUUUCAACAUUAAAUUUUAUUUAAUCAUAUUAUUAAACUAGCUACUCUUAUUGAACCAAGUCAUUUAAGUUUUUUUCACUUCUUUAAAAUUACUAACAUUGCAUCAAUAAUUUAUUUUUUUUAUAUUUAAAAUAAAGCCCGCGGCGUAUCAGUCACCAAUAUACUAUAAGUUAAGACUAUUGUAUAUAUAUAUAUAUAUAUAUAUAUAUAUAUAUAUAUAUAUAUAUAAACUUUUGGAAAGGAGCAUGAAAGUGAAACCCUCGUGAAAAAAACAGGUUCCAGUACUCGAAAGGUAAGAUAGAUUGGCGAAGACGCCAUCUCCUAGCUAGCGGGGGAUGGUCUUAGGCUGGUCUAACUUUAAUGUCUGUAACUUUGCAUGAACUCAUCCAAGAUCAAUGAACUGACAAGUGAUAAGGACUCCAUUUCCAUUAAUUUCUUUCUUUUACCCUAACGAGUUGCGUAAACUUCUAGAGCUGCAGUCCUCUAUGCAUUAAUUGUCAAUUCACCCAAAUCAAUAGAGCUACCUUAUGUAACUUGCGUGGCUACUCAAAAUUUUAUAUAGUGUUAAAUAUGAAUACCAAAGGCACUAGGUGAAGCACCCAGCCCUCCUUAUUGGAUCUAAUUAGAAAAUUCCGAUCAUAAUCGAAAAAAUCCAGCCAUGAUCCUGCUCCCUUAACUAGUGAGCACACGAUAUGAUGACACUUUAUAAAAUACAUAUUUUUACAAUAAUAAAAUAGAUAUUAGUAAGAAAGUAUGAUGAUUAGAAAUACUUAAUGGAAAUUACCUUUUUUUAUUCAUAUAAUUUUUCUGUUUUGACAAGAAUAUACUUUUUUUUAUUAUCAACAUGGUUUAUUGGAUAUAAGAUAAUGACAAUUAAAAGAGAUAUUUGCAAAAAUUCUAAUAACUUGAAUUAAAGAAAAAAAUUAUCUUUUUAAUAAGAAAAAACUCCAUUUUUUUAAUAGAUUAGCCAAUGCAUCAUUCGUCUUUUUUAUUUAUUUAUUUAUUUUUUUAAAUAGACAAGACAAUACAUCAUCUACUUAGACAAUCUAUGCGCUAUCUUUGGGUGUAAAUUUCAAUCACCUCAGGUGACUAGAAAUUUGGUGUCCAAGUUGUUGGAUCUCCCAAGUCUUUUUUUCAACUUGUUUUUAUUUGAAAAUAUCCACAUAAAAAAACAUCAUAUAAAAACCUCAAAAUAAUUGUUUCCAAUCCAAAACAACAAUUAAUCACUCAAAAACAAGAAAAUCAAAACAAGUUAAAAAAAAAAACCUUGCUAGGCCUAUAUUUGUUUUUUUCUGUUAUAGUCAGAUGACACAACCACCUCCAUUGAAUUCUUUUAUCCAAGAUAAGCCAUUAACACCAAGCUCAUAUUUCUUUAUGGUCAUAAUGUGAUUGUCCUUGCACUUUUUCUCUCUUUUUUUUACAACUCUCUCUCUCUUAUCAUAACUUAGAGACAGAAACAUGGUAAAAAUGAAGUUAGAAAACCAAAACAAACAAACCUACAACUACAAGGACCAAGUACAAAAAAAUGAAACUUUGUUAUGAUUUUUUCCAUGAUUUAUCAAUAAAAAAACGUUUAAGAAGAAUCUUAGCUCAAAAAGUUAAGUUGUAAAGUUAAAUUUAAGAAAUAAUUUUAUAUUACUAUCUAACACAUCAUUUUAUUUCAAAGUUUUUUAAAUUUAAAAUUAGUACAAACUUACUACAAUCUUACACUUAAUUUGAUUUUAUUAAUCUAAUUAAUACUAAUGAAAUAGGUAAAAAUCAUUUUAUCUUUAAAUUUUUGAUAAUAUAUUAAAGAAUAAUUUCAAUCUAAAAAGUUAAAAAGUUAAAUAAAGUAUAAAAUAAUUUUAUAUUAUUCUUUAUUAUUAAAAACAAUUUGAGGAAUUUGUAUAAAUUGUAACAGAAAUUGCUUGAAAUUAAGAUUGCAAUAUUGUAGAAAUUAAAUCCGUAUGCGAGCAUAAAGGGUCCUUUUCUAGUCAUUGAAGAUGACCAAUAAACCAGCCUAGCCUGGAUAAAGAUCGUCAGGGAGGGGGGUGCCAUCGCUGCUGCAGGGAGGGGUCAUUUCCCAGAAGAGAGCCUAAUUAAUGCCACACACGUGCAUGGGUUGAUAGGGGUCUUUAAUCUAUACGACAUCUUCAUGUUUUCAUUCGGAAUUUUCCAAAUAACACAUCAAUUCCAUUUACUGUGCGGAGGACAGAAACUUUUGAUGGAGAGAACAACAUCAACAUGUGGGAUCGAAAACCAUCUUCUCUUGCUAUGACUUUUCUUUCUUCCUGUGUUUACCAUACCUUUGGCACCAUUUUGGUAACAUAUUAUGGACUGCAAAUCUGUGCUGUAUAUAUGAUGCCCUAUCUCGAGCCUAUCCCUUCUCUGAAGAAAAAACGUGUUGGGUUGUUUAUCAAACCCUAAUGAGUUUCUACGGAUCUCAACAGCUAGUAAUGAUGCCACCCAAUUCUUCGUGUGUUCUGAUUCACGUUUCAACAUCUUGUAGAUAUUUCAAUCAUGGCCUUGGCCAGUAGUUUCCAGGGAUCAUGUUUCGUCUUUCAAUGGUUAUGGUUAGUAUGAUGCCACGUUGGGGUGCCUUUCCAGCGCCCGUGAAGCUGCCGCCCAAGCAAUUGAGUCCCAGCAAUAUUCAUGAAUUCUUUCUUCUGUUUUUUCCAAUCGUAUCUCAGAUUCUCAAUAAUAAUUAAAUGCAGUUAAUAAUGGACUGCUCGGUUAUUUAUUUGAAAAUAAAAUACUUCAAAGAUCUUUCCAAGUUUAUGACAUAAAACACAAUAGACAUUCUUCUUUACAUACAAGUUUAUGUUAAAAUAUAUGCAUAGACUUCUUUGUCUUCAUUUCAAGAAUCUAAACUGUUGGAAUAAAAAAGCUACUCUACCAGCAACAGUGUCCUUUCAUUUUCAGCUUCGGGCGGCAGAGAGAGUGGUUGCUGCAAAUAAUUGCACAAUAAUACCUAAUUUAAAUCAUGCAGGCCGUGGUCGUCGUACAGUGAAUGCUAUCUUAUGCAUACACGUUUGCACACCACAACUCUUAACAAACCCCCAUGGGCUUCACUCAACAGCAUUGUUGAAUUAUACAUUAAAACGAAGAAGCAUGUUGGUAUGUAUUUGAAUUUUUGGUUUGAUUUUGUGUUUAAAAUUGUAUUUGAAUGUAUUUUAAAAGUUUAUCUGAUUUGAAAAUUUUCAAAUUAAUAUGUUUUUUUAAUGUUAUUUGAUUAUUUUAAUAUAUUAAUGUAAAAAAAAUAAUUUUAAUACAUUUUAAAAUAAAAAAUACUUUUAAAAAAAUCCAUACAUUAUCAAACACACAUUCUAGAAAAACCAUACUCUCAACAACUGGUCCCAGAGGGAAAAUAUCGGAAAACUGCUGGUCAUAGCUACUGAAUUCCUAGCUAAUAGUGAUCCCUCACAACUCUGAAUUUAUGUGUGGAUAAGAAUAAAAGAAAUAAGAAGUAUAAAAUAAUUUUAAAUCAAUUAAGGCUAGUAAUAACAUUAUUUCUAAUAAAAUAAAUGUAACUAAGAAAUUAAUAUUUUUUAUUACUUUCAUGAUUAAAUAGAAAUUAAUAUCAACUAGUUCUUAUAUUUUAUUUUAUCCUAAAAUGUUUAAUUUGCAUUUUAUUCUCAAUUGUACAAAAAAAAUCCAUUUCUUUUUUAUCCACUUUUAGAUUGUUUAGGCAAAUAUUAAAGAUUAGUUGGGAGAUCUGCAUGUUGUAAAAUUUUAAUAUUUAAAAAACAUAAGUUAACCGAUACAAAUUAAUGGGUCACAAAAUAUAUGAAAAUUAUAUUGAGUUAUAAUUGGAGCUAGGAUAGUCCACUUCACAUUAUUCGUACGUAUAAAAUAUACUUCUUGCGACUUUUCCUAAUAUUUGAAUGAUAACUUAAAUUACUAUUAGAAUGAAAUGUAAUGUGAUCUUAAUAAUUGAAUUAACACUUACUUAAAAUGUUAUUAUGUAUUCCCUAUUAUUUUUUUACUAUCUUUUACACAUACAUUAUUCAAGUACAUAUUUAAUAUUUUCUAUGAAAUAAUAAUCUUUAAAAUUUUGUAUGAUUUUUUUAUAAUCAUAAUUUAAAUUUAAGUAAUUUCCAUGUCAUGUCAUUAGAAGAAAUUCUCUGUUUUUCUAAAAAACAAAAGCUGAAAAAAUAUAAAAUAAGAAAGAAAUUUUUUUAAUGCACUUAAUGUAAAAUAUUUUCAAUUUAAAAAAUAUAUUGUCAUUUUUAUUAAAAAAUAAAAAGGGUUUGAGUAUAUGAUGAUAACGAAUAUUAUCAAAUAUAAAAGUAAAAAAGCAUAAUAAAUUAAAAUAUAAAAUAUUUUUAUAUUUUUUAUUAUCUGUAAUUGAAAACUCUUUAAAAGUUCCCAAAACAAAUCAAAUAUAAAAUUAAAAACAUGAUAAAUUAUAAUAUAAAAUAUUUUUAUAUUUUGUUAUAUGUAGAAUUGAAAACUCUUUAAUAGUUUCCAAAAUAAAUAAAACUCGUUAAAACAUUAGAUGUUAGAUAAAAGUUUUGCUUAGUAAAUAUUCUACUAACUUUUAAUUAAUACUAUAAUAUAAGUAUCAUAGUUUUUAAUCAGUCAUAAUAUUAAUAAAGAUAGAGUUUUUUUUGUCAAAAAGAGUAAACUUGUUUCAUUUAAUGGAGUCAAAAUCAACGAAAGGCAAAAAAACAAUGGUCUCCUAUAAAAAAUAAUUAAUAUCCAAUUUAACAAUUUACUAUGUUUUGAUCUAAGUUUAUUAGUUUUAGUGUUAAUUAUUAUGGGAUGAAUAGAAAUUAAAUACAUAGACAUGAGUACUAAAACAACCCAAUGAAUUUCUCAAAGGGGUCUUAUUUUAUAUUACUAGUGAUUUUAGAAAGAAAUAAUAAAAUAUUGAUGAUAACAUAAGACAAUUACGUCGAAAGAUCCUUAUUUAAAAAAUUAAUAAGUUUAUUUAAUAAUCUGAUAUAAAUUUUCAAUGUUAUUUUAUUAUUUUUUAGAACUCCAUAGAACCGAACUUCCAUGUUAUAGCACAGUACCGUGUACCUAGCAAUUAUAAACCAGGAAGAGACGUACUGUAAAUUUCAGUCUACAGUUCAGCACUGGAGAUGGAGCCAUGAUGCUUGCAGAUAAAUCCACAAGGAAAAGGCCAUGAAAGAAAAUAGCAAUUGAACGAACAUUCAGGAGGAUAAUCCACUGUAGUUGACCUAAUGGAGAGGGAAUUAAGUAAUUCGCUUACUGAAACUGACAAGACACAGAUUUAACUCUUGAUGUGCAUCGCCUUGCAUGCACUUAUAAUCAUGUAAUGAUAAUUCACAAUGCAAUCCUGUCAACAAAAAGUAACAAUGUCUUAGUUCAAUCGCUAUACAGACAGCACAGAUUAGGAAAAACAAAAACAGUGUUUAGAUUUCUAUCAUUGUUAUCCUGAAAUGUUGCCUCUGCACCAUCUCUAAUACCUAACCCUUGGUUCAUUUUGCAUCAAGUCUACAGCCAGUGGUACACAAUUAUGUAGGCCUGUAAGCGCUAGGUAUAAUCAGAUCAAAUGGCAUUUCAACUUUCCAAGACACAUGUUGCUGGCCCCAGUAUAAUGAACACUUUGUGCCGUCUAAUCUACUUAACUGUCACUGGUAGUUUAAGUUCUCAGAAUUGUUCUAGUGAUUUCCAAUACAAACUUCCUUUCUCCAUCAACAGAAUGACAUAUUAACUGUUUGUCAUGUUAAGUUGAGCAAACUGGACCUGAGAUUUUGAAGGUCGAGACACUUGCAACUAUGAAAACAUCUACGGAUCAAACUCGAGCUCAACAAACUAAGAGUGUUAUAUGAUAGAAUUAAGUGCUCAUUUCCGACAAGUUGAUGAAAACAAACCGAAUCUUAAAACAUAGUUCACGCUCUGCACACUCGACGCAUACAUA